UGACCUUGUCUUUCAUGCUGUCUCUGGUUC
rnacentral:piRNA from 1 species